rnacentral:rRNA from 1 species
UACGUAGGGUGCAAGCGUUGUCCGAAAUUAUUGGGCGUAAAGAGCUCGUAGGCGGUUCGUCACGUCGGCUGUGAAAUCCCGAGGCUCAACCUCGGGUCUGCAGUCGAUACGGGCGGACUGGAGUACUGCAGGGGAGACUGGAAUUCCUGGUGUAGCGGUGAAAUGCGCAGAUAUCAGGAGGAACACCGGUGGCGAAGGCGGGUCUCUGGGCAACAACUGACGCUGAGGAGCGAAAGCGUGGGGAGCGAACAGG